rnacentral:rRNA from 1 species
UCUGGGUCCAACCUCCCACCCGUGUUUAUCGUACCUUGUUGCUUCGGCGGGCCCGCCGCAAGGCCGCCGGGGGGCUUCCGUCCCCGGGCCCGCGCCCGCCGAAGACACCUGUGAACGCUGUAUGAAGAUUGCAGUCUGAGCGAAAAGCUAAAUUUAUUAAAACUUUCAACAACGGAUCUCUUGGUUCCGGCAUCGAUGAAGAACGCAGCGAAAUGCGAUAAGUAAUGUGAAUUGCAGAAUUCAGUGAAUCAUCGAGUCUUUGAACGCACAUUGCGCCCCCUGGUAUUCCGGGGGGCAUGCCUGUCCGAGCGUCAUUGCUGCCCUCAAGCACGGCUUGUGUGUUGGGCCCUCGUCCCCCGGGACGGGCCCGAAAGGCAGCGGCGGCACCGCGUCCGGUCCUCGAGCGUAUGGGGCUUCGUCACCCGCUCUGUAGGCCCGGCCGGCGCCUGCCGACACCAUCAAUCUUUUUUCCAGGUUGACCUCGGAUCAGGUAGGGAUACCCGCUGAACUUAAGCAUAUCA